CCUAGGUUAGCUCCCCUAUUUUCCACUCAUUCACCCAGGCUGACUCCUUCCCUCGCAGGUCGCCUAGGGAACUUCGACUCAGACAGCUCCUCCCCUGCUCAGUCAGUAACAGGAGGAAAAUAGGUCUCUUGUAAGAACUUUAAGGAACAAGGUGACGAGGGGAGGAAAAGGAAUCGUCCACUGGUUGCGGAAAGUUAAACUACUGUCCAAGAAUAACGAUGUGGAUUAUGUGGAAGGAAGAUGAAAAUGAGGAGAUCUAGUACCACUAAGGAUAGCUACAGAGAGAUUUGCCGGGAGCAGCUGCAGUCUGUGUCGAGUUACUGAAAAGAUUGGAGAGGAGGACAGGAAGAAGGAUUGGUUGGAGAAAUGACUGUCAUAUUAUAUGAAAGCAAAUUCUGGCAUAAAAAAGUAUGCACAGGGACACUUCGGGAGCAAAUUGGAGAAGACGUGAUUGGGUCUUUGGAAUGUUGUAAGUAAACGGUAGGAGCAGAAGGCCUGUCUUAAAGUGUGUCCGAUAAAGAAGUGCACCAAACCUUAUGCCAAUCAUCAGAAGUCAUGUCAGACCAGCCAGCGCAAUUCUCAUUGACUCACGGCCUGCCUACAGAAGCAUUCAGCAUGAAGGUUAACCACAGUAGGUUCAUUAUGCAUCCAAGAACUGGUGAUUUGUUAUAUUUAUUAUUGUUUCUUGGGUUAGUUAGUUGUUUCCUUCUUUUGCAAAUUUUACAAGUAAGCUUAGAUCUUAAAUCCAUUGCAGUUAUAAAUAAUUUACGUAUUAUUCAGUUCAU